ACCCUGAUCCAGCAAUGCCGCGUGUGGGAUGAAGGCCCUCGGGUUGUAAACCACUUUUGGCAGGAAAGAAAUCGCCUGUGCUAAUACCACGGGCGGAUGACGGUACCUGCAGAAUAAGCACCGGCUAACUACGUGCCAGCAGCCGCGGUAAUACGUAGGGUGCGAGCGUUAAUCGGAAUUACUGGGCGUAAAGAGUGCGUAGGCGGUUUUGUAAGACAGAUGUGAAAUCCCCGGGCUUAACCUGGGAACUGCAUUUGUGACUGCAAGACUAGAGUGUGUCAGAGGGAGGUGGAAUUCCGCGUGUAGCAGUGAAAUGCGUAGAGAUGCGGAAGAACACCGAUGGCGAAGGCAGCCUCCUGGGAUAACACUGACGCUCAGGCACGAAAGCGUGGGGAGCAAACAGGAUUAGAUACCCUGGUAGUCCACGCCCUAAACGAUGUCAACUGGUUGUUGGGGAUUCAUUUCCUUAGUAACGUAGCUAACGCGUGAAGUUGACCGCCUGGGGAGUACGGCCGCAAGGUUAAAACUCAAAGGAAUUGACGGA
rnacentral:rRNA from 1 species